rnacentral:rRNA from 1 species
UACUCGAGUGGCGAACGGGUGAGUAACACGUGGGUGAUCUGCCCUGCACUCUGGGAUAAGCCUGGGAAACUGGGUCUAAUACCGGAUAGGACCAUGCUUUAGUGUGUGUGGUGGAAAGUUUUUUCGGUGUAGGAUGAGCCCGCGGCCUAUCAGCUUGUUGGUGGGGUAAUGGCCUACCAAGGCGGCGACGGGUAGCCGGACUGAGAGGUUGGUCGGCCACACUGGAACUGAGACACGGUCCAG